GCACUGCUGACGAGUCCCACAAUAAGGACGGAAUGGCCAUCCAGUGC
rfam:Schistosoma mattheei strain Denwood, Zambia genome assembly, scaffold: SMTD_contig0002417